rnacentral:rRNA from 1 species
UACGGAGGGUGCAAGCGUUGCUCGGAAUUAUUGGGCGUAAAGGGUAGGUAGGUGGUCUCAUUUGUCUGAGGUGAAAGCCUUGAGCUUAACUCAAGAAGUGCCUCGGAAACGGUGAGACUGGAGUCCUGGAGAGGGUCGUGGAAUUCCCGGUGUAGCGGUGAAAUGCGUAGAGAUCGGGAGGAACACCAGAGGCGAAGGCGGCGACCUGGACAGGCACUGACACUCAACUACGAAAGCGUGGGUAGCAAACAGG